AUCUCAUAGGUGCAGUGUCGGGUGUCAUGAGUUCAGUCACUUCCAGAACCCAGGGACACUCCCUCCCUCACCAAUGGGAUGAAGAGAAGGUUUUUCCAACAGAAGCGCAGAGCACAAUGCCUCUCCAUUAAAGGAAGCACCAGCAAUCCUGUGGACCUCAUAUCUAGAAUUAAAAAUCGAGAAGGUUCUUUCUAGAUGUAUCUCCUAAGGAAAGGGAAACAAAAGCACAAAUAAACUAUUGGGACUACAUCAAAAUGAAAAGCUUCUGCACGGCAAAGGAAACAAUGGACAAAACCAAAAGACAACAUCCUGAAUGGGAGAAAAUAUUUGCAAAUGAUACAUCUGAGAAGAGGAACUAACAUGGAUAUGCUGUCAUUAAGAUUUGUCAAUCUAAAUGACAAGAACUUAUGGACAUAAUGGCAUCGAAUUUCUGAACUGAGAUCAUCCUAGAAUAUUU